UUGCUCUGGAUACUUUGUGAGGUGUUCUUUCCUUGGCUUGGCAGCUCGCCACCAGGAGGAUUUGCAGUAGAACCUUUAGGACACUCGGUCUCAUCAUGAAGUAGAGAGAAGCAUCUUUUGCAGUGUUUGGCUAACUGUUCGUAAACCAGGUCCGCUGUCACUCCGUCUCUGUUAUCAAACUCGAUGAUGGAAGAAGUAAUAAGAGGCUUAAGAGAGUUGCUUCAGACCAGAGGUGGCUCGGUAUGCCUUGAACUUGGAUCCAGAAGGGGAUUUGAGAAGGGAAUGAGCUGGCCACCGUUGGUUCCCAUCUCUGAAGGAUAAUCAUCCAAUGGGCGAAAUGGUAAGUUCCUAUAGGGCGGGUCUGAACUCUCCAGUGAUCCGCUAGGAAAGGGAGAAAAACCCACAUCUUCUGGAUUUUGGGGUUGGUGAUUCUUCCCACCAAAGUAAGAGAAUGGCUACGGAUAAGUUCGGAGUUGUCAAAAGGAAACACUUUGACUCUUCCAGCUCUUGGUGGUUCAGGGUAAGAAGGUUCGAAGGAGGAAAAGGAACUGGCCUUCUUUUAAUUGCGAGGUAUCCCCAACAAACUUUGGAGUUCAUGGCUUAAACACAGCGAAUUACUCUGCACCAAUAUCAUCUUGUAGUGGAGAGAGCACUAGAUCUGACUUUCUUAGAAGAGCCGGUGUCUAACAAAAACGAGGAAGAGGCCAAGACAAGUAUCCAGAGGGAGAAGACGACUGCUUACCGUUGGAAAUGGACCCUCCGACUGGUACGCCGGGGGCUGAACCCGGUGAGAACCGGCCAAGCACGGCAAGAGAUUAAAAAAAACUUACUAUAAGUGGUAAAAAAACGUAGCUGAGAUUAAAAGUAGAUCUCAAACUUUUAAGAUAAACUUUGGGAUAAGUGUCUGAGAGAAAACUUUCACAACCUCAACCUUUUUAUUAAAAGGAA